ACUGAACGCUGGCGGAAUGCUUUACACAUGCAAGUCGAACGGCAGCACGGACUUCGGUCUGGUGGCGAGUGGCGAACGGGUGAGUAAUGUAUCGGAACGUGCCCAGUCGUGGGGGAUAACGUAGUGAAAAUUACGCUAAUACCGCAUACGAUCUAUGGAUGAAAGCGGGGGAUCGCAAGACCUCGCGCGAUUGGAGCGGCCGAUAUCAGAUUAGGUAGUUGGUGGGGUAAAGGCCCACCAAGCCAACGAUCUGUAGCUGGUCUGAGAGGACGACCAGCCACACUGGAACUGAGACACGGUCCAGACUCCUACGGGAGGCAGCAGUGGGGAAUUUUGGACAAUGGGCGAAAGCCUGAUCCAGCCAUUCCGCGUGCAGGAUGGAGGCCCUCGGGUUGUAAACUGCUUUUGUACAGAACGAAAAGGUUUCUACUAAUACUAGGAGCUCAUGACGGUACUGUAAGAAUAAGCACCGGCUAACUACGUGCCAGCAGCCGCCGUAA
rnacentral:rRNA from 1 species